AUUGAACGCUGGCGGCAUGCUUUACACAUGCAAGUCGAACGGCAGCGCGGGCUUCGGCCUCGCUGCGAGUGGCGAACGGGUGAGUAAUACAUCGGAACGUGCCCAGUUGUGGGGGAUAGCUCGGCGAAAGCCGGAUUAAUACCGCAUACGACCUGAGGGUGAAAGCGGGGGAUCUUCGGACCUCGCGCUAUUGCAGCGGCCGAUGGCAGAUUAGCUAGUUGGUGGGGUAAAGGCCUACCAAGGCGACGAUCUGUAGCUGGUCUGAGAGGACGACCAGCCACACUGGGACUGAGACACGGCCCAGACUCCUACGGGAGGCAGCAGUGGGGAAUUUUGGACAAAGGGCGAAAGCCUGAUCCAGCAAUGCCGCGUGUGUGAUGAAGGCCUUCGGGUUGUAAAGCACUUUUGGCGGGAACGAAAAGGAGUAUGCCAAUACCACGGUUCGAUGACGGUACCCAAAGAAUAAGCACCGGCUAACUACGUG
rnacentral:rRNA from 1 species